rnacentral:rRNA from 1 species
GAUGAACGCUGGCGGCGUGCUUAAUACAUGCAAGUCGAGCGAACAGAUGAUGCUCUUGCUCCUUUGACGUUAGCGGCGGACGGGUGUGUCACAUGUGGAUAAUCUCCCUAUAUGACUGGGAUCACUUCGGGACACCGGCGCUAAUACCGUAUAAUCUCUUGAACCGCAUGGUUCAAUAGUGAAAGACGGUUUUGCUGUCACUUAUAGAUGGAUCUGGGCCGCAUUAGCUAGUUGGUAAGGUAACGGCUUACCAAGGCAACGAUGCGUAUCCGACCGGAGAGAGUGAUCGGCGGCCUGGGAGCGUGAACGGGGACAUGGCGACUAAGGGACGCAGCAGAAGGGAAUGGGACGCAGUAGGCGAGAGCCUGACGCAGCAGCGCCGCGUGAGAGAUGAAGAUCUUGGGUGCGUAAUACUCUGUUAUGAGGGAAAAACAAAUUUGUAAGGAGAUAUGCACGUCUUGACGGUAACUAGUCAGAAAGCCACGGCUAACUACGUG